GGAUGAACGCUGGCGGCGUGCCUAAUACAUGCAAGUCGAACGCUUUGUGGUUCAACUGAUUUGAAGAGCUUGCUCAGAUAUGACGAUGGACAUUGCAAAGAGUGGCGAACGGGUGAGUAACACGUGGGAAACCUACCUCUUAGCAGGGGAUAACAUUUGGAAACAGAUGCUAAUACCGUAUAACAAUGACAACCGCAUGGUUAUUAUUUCAAAGAUGGUUCUGCUAUCACUAAGAGAUGGUCCCGCGGUGCAUUAGCUAGUUGGUAAGGUAAUGGCUUACCAAGGCGAUGAUGCAUAGCCGAGUUGAGAGACUGAUCGGCCACAAUGGGACUGAGACACGGCCCAUACUCCUACGGGAGGCAGCAGUAGGGAAUCUUCCACAAUGGGCGAAAGCCUGAUGGAGCAACGCCGCGUGUGUGAUGAAGGGUUUCGGCUCGUAAAACACUGUUGUAAGAGAAGAAUGACAUUGAGAGUAACUGUUCAAUGUGUGACGGUAUCUUACCAGAAAGGAACGGCUAAAUACGUGCCAGCAGCCGCGGUAAUACGUAUGUUCCAAGCGUUAUCCGGAUUUAUUGGGCGUAAAGCGAGCGCAGACGGUUAUUUAAGUCUGAAGUGAAAGCCCUCAGCUCAACUGAGGAAUUGCUUUGGAAACUGGAUGACUUGAGUGCAGUAGAGGAAAGUGGAACUCCAUGUGUAGCGGUGAAAUGCGUAGAUAUAUGGAAGAACACCAGUGGCGAAGGCGGCUUUCUGGACUGUAACUGACGUUGAGGCUCGAAAGUGUGGGUAGCAAACAGGAUUAGAUACCCUGGUAGUCCACACCGUAAACGAUGAGUGCUAGGUGUUGAGGGUUUCCGCCCUUAAGUGCCGCAGCUAACGCAUUAAGCACUCCGCCUGGGGAGUACGACCGCAAGGUUGAAACUCAAAGGAAUUGACGGGGACCCGCACAAGCGGUGGAGCAUGUGGUUUAAUUCGAAGCAACGCGAAGAACCUUACCAGGUCUUGACAUCCCUUGACAACUCCAGAGAUGGAGCGUUCCCUUCGGGGACAAGGUGACAGGUGGUGCAUGGUUGUCGUCAGCUCGUGUCGUGAGAUGUUGGGUUAAGUCCCGCAACGAGCGCAACCCUUAUUACUAGUUGCCAGCAUUUAGUUGGGCACUCUAGUGAGACUGCCGGUGACAAACCGGAGGAAGGUGGGGAUGACGUCAAAUCAUCAUGCCCCUUAUGACCUGGGCUACACACGUGCUACAAUGGCGUAUACAACGAGUUGCCAACCCGCGAGGGUGAGCUAAUCUCUUAAAGUACGUCUCAGUUCGGAUUGUAGGCUGCAACUCGCCUACAUGAAGUCGGAAUCGCUAGUAAUCGCGGAUCAGCACGCCGCGGUGAAUACGUUCCCGGGUCUUGUACACACC
rnacentral:rRNA from 1 species